AUGGGACAUCAGCCUCUUGCCCACCAUGGUCCCUCAGAAACUGGCUGCUCCUUCAUUCUCUGGGUAAGAACCAUGACUCCCUCUUCCUCCAAACUUUCUUCUUUCUGUGGCAAACUGCCUUGGUCAUUCAACACCUCACCCCGAUUUGUGAUUUCGUGCACUUUCUUGUCUCCCUAUGAAUUCACAGCCACAGACCUUUGCCAUAUCUCAUCACUGCAUGCCACACUGGACCUCGUUCUCAACCCAUUGGAUUGGUCACCAUGUGUGCUGGGAACCAAAGAAAAGCUACUUUGAAGUGGACACCCUGUGCCAGCUUCUCACACAGGAAAAGAGAAGACUCUGGAAUCUUUUGGAAUUUUGGAACAGAUGCACAUCUGUGAUAGACACAGCGCUUAUCUUCAUUAGGCACUUGCCAUAG
rnacentral:lncRNA from 1 species